rnacentral:snoRNA from 1 species
AAUCGCUUAAUGAUGACUGAAGAAUGCAUAGUUCAACUGAAUAGCAUGAAGAUAAAAACUUUCCAUCAAAAGUCUUUCACCCCUAUCUGAGAGCGGAU